AUGCUGGACUUGUUGGCUGUCCCAAAUCCAGGUGAAGAGCUCUGCAGAAAUUACCUGAGGACUGAAUAUGGCACUUUUGCCAAAUUAGGAGGACUCGGCCAGGAGAUUGUGCCAUCCUGGGUGGAUGGAGGAUGGGGGAAAGGCACAAUGCUGUCCAUAACCAUUACUUACUGGCAGGAGGAGGAGCUGGCCCUGCAUUACACUUAAAAUGGAGUUUGAUUCCGGGUGAUGGGUCAGUGGUGAUGAUAUUGCUCAGAUAAAUGCAGGAAAGGAAGGACUGCCCAUCUGAGCUGACCAUGUGGGAGACGUGAGGCCCGGCAGUGCCAGUGUUCAGGUAGGUGGGGCUGGCGGACUUCACCUGGCGCUCAUGAGACUGGGUCAAACGUGAUGGAUGCUUCACAUGGUAAGGUGGGGGCUUAUUGUCCACAAGCUGGGUUCAGGGAAAAACUUUCAUGUGAGGAGAAACUGAAGAGUCUGGUCCAGCUAAUAAGUGAGAUAAUUAAUAAAGGAAAUAUAAUAGUGUAUCA
rnacentral:lncRNA from 1 species